rnacentral:rRNA from 1 species
AUACGUAGGGUGCGAGCGUUGUCCGGAAUUACUGGGCGUAAAGAGCUCGUAGGUGGUUUGUCGCGUCGUCUGUGAAAUUCCGGGGCUUAACUCCGGGCGUGCAGGCGAUACGGGCAUAACUUGAGUACUGUAGGGGAGACUGGAAUUCCUGGUGUAGCGGUGAAAUGCGCAGAUAUCAGGAGGAACACCGGUGGCAAAGGCGGGUCUCUGGGCAGUAACUGACGCUGAGGAGCGAAAGCAUGGGUAGCGAACAGGAUUAGAUACCCUGGUAGUCCAUGCCGUAAACGGUGGGCGCUAGGUGUAGGGGUCUUCCACGACUUCUGUGCCGUAGCUAACGCAUUAAGCGCCCCGCCUGGGGAGUACGGCCGCAAGGCUAAAACUCAAAUGAAUUGACGGGG